rnacentral:tRNA from 1 species
GGGUGGUUAGCUCAGUUGGGAGAGCGGCGGCCUUACAAGCCGUAGGUCACAGGUUCGAACCCUGUACCACCCACCA